rnacentral:rRNA from 1 species
UACGUAGGGGGCAAGCGUUGUCCGGAUUUAUUGGGCGUAAAGCGCUCGCAGGUGGUCCGUCGCGUCGUGCGUGAAAGCCCCCGGCUCAACUGGGGAGUGUCGUGCGAUACGGGCGGACUGGAGGCCAGUAGGGGGAUGCGGAAUUCCGGGUGUAGUGGUGGAAUGCGUAGAGAUCCGGAGGAACACCAGCGGCGAAGGCGGCAUCCUGGACUGGUCCUGACACUCAUGAGCGAAAGCGUGGGGAGCGAACAGG